AUGUGGCGGCGGGACGCGGAUCAGCGGUGGCGAUCCUUCGUAUUGGCUUUCGGCGGUGUGCUUUUUGUUGGUCGUCAGAGGCGUUGGAUCUGGAUAGAGCGCAUGAGUUGGUCGCCGGUUUGGCUAGCGCCGACCGGUUGGGUUGUGCGGGUGUGCUUUGAUCGAGUUUGUCGACAAAUUCGAGAUUCUGAUUCUUCUUUUUCUUUUGAUUUACUUCACUGUUGUUUUCAGAAUUCUGAAUAG